rnacentral:sRNA from 1 species
UGGUGCACCUUCUUCCUGAUCCCCAGCAUCAUCUUUGCCGUCAAGACCUCCAAAUACUUCCGUCCUAUCCGGAAACGCCUCAGCUCCACCAGCUCUGAGGAGACUCAGCUCUUCCACAUCCCCCGGGUUACCUCCCUGAAGCUGUAGGGCCCUGUGGGUGAGUUUUCCCCAACUCGCUUAAUUGCUCCCUGCCAGGGAUUAAGGGAGUGGGGUGGGGAGGGGCUGGGGUCUGGGGUUUCCAGGGCCUAGGAGGGCAGGAAGGCUUGGGGACAUGGUGGAGUCUGGGUAUUGGGUGUGGCCCAUCCAGCAGUGGGGCUGACAGCCCUGUUCUCCCCUCCCUCCCCUUCACCCAUUUCCUUCUUAAUCCCUGACAGGGUGAGGUGACCCUGAGGCUGCCUGUCCUCCCCUUUGAUUUAGCCUGGGCCACAGGACUUCGGUAGCUCUUGCCCCAGAGCCCAGGCUGGCAUCCAGGCCUGGACUGUCCCCAGUUCCGGCUUACCUGGCCCCACCUUGCCUGCUCCUUUCC